UACAGAGGGUGCGAGCGUUAAUCGGAAUUACUGGGCGUAAAGCGCGCGUAGGCGGCCUGCUAAGUCGAACGUGAAAUCCCUGGGCUCAACCCAGGAACUGCGUCCGAUACUGGUUGGCUUGAAUCCGGGAGAGGGACGUGGAAUUCCAGGUGUAGCGGUGAAAUGCGUAGAUAUCUGGAGGAACACCGGUGGCGAAGGCGACGUCCUGGACCGGUAUUGACGCUGAGGCGCGAAAGCCAGGGGAGCAAACGGG
rnacentral:rRNA from 1 species